GGUCCAGUGGCAAAGUGGUAUGUGUCUGCUUCUUGUUGAUAAAGCGAACAGAUCUUAUAGAUCAUGUUGGUUCGACUCCAGCCUGGGCUC